AGUCUGACACAGCUUUAGUCAUCUCUAUUCCUAUAACUAGACCCUACGCCUAUGCCCCUUUAUCCAUUUCUCUCUCUUUAUUUCUAUUCUCUUGUUGAUUUGAUAGCCGGAAGCUCUCUGAUUUUUCAUUGAAUCAUGAAUCUUUUCUUUGGCCAAAGAUCUCAUUCAAUCCUACAAACUCUAAUUUUCUCAAUCAGCUCUGAAGUUUUUUCUGUCUCUUUGGUGGCUUUAGAUUUCAUGGAAACAGAGAUAGGAAAUCAAGAAACAGCAAGAAGUACGAGCUUGAUCUGUGAUCCGGUGAUGGCGGAUUCAAUAGACAAGAUGGUGAUUGAAACUUGCAAAGUUCGGGACUUGUGUUCAGAUUGGUGGAGAUUCGAUUAGAUAGUCUUCAAGAUUUCAGAAGUCUCCUCUGCCUAUUCUAUUUACUUGCAGGCCAAAAUGGGAGGUAGUCAGUAUGGUGGAUGUGGUCCGUUUAGCCUUGGAACUAGGAGCUGAUUACAUUGGUCUUUAACUUCAUGUCAGCAUCGUUAAAAAACUGAAGAGUUCUGUUUUUCACAAGGUGUUUUGUAAUACAUUGUACACAUAAUAAUGAUGAAUAUAAUGUAUCUGGUAGCAUUUGUUAUCCAGUUUAGCUUAAGUAUAUCCAGUAGCGUGAAAAUGUAUAUGGUAGUAUUUGUUAAAAAUCGGAUAAGCAUGAUGGUUUGUAAUCCUUUGCACUAGUAAAAACAUGGACAUACCUACGAAUUUGCUACGCAAAUUUCGUAGCAAAAUCGAAAAAACCACGAAUUUGCUACGAAACGCUAUUCGUAGCAAACAGUAUCAAUUUCGUACCAAAUUUUGCUACGAAUGUAAACGUGGCAACAUAAUAGCUACGAUUUUGCUACGAAUAAUUCGUUGAUACAUAAUAGUUACGAUUUUGCUACGUUGGUGUUACAGAAUAGCCACGAUUUUGCCACGAAAAAUUUGUGGCUACAUGAAACCCUAUACCCUAAAUAUGUGUUAACCCCAUAAACUCUAAGAAUAAACCUUAAAAUCUAAUCUUUUCAUACUAUAACCUUAAAACCUAACGCUCCAAAUUAACCUUAUCUAAAAAAUAUUAACCUUAUAUCAUAACACAAUACUAAUUAAAUAACUUUAUAAAUUAUAUUAAAUCAAGUUGUGUUACCCUUUAACCCAAACCUAACCCCAAUUCUAUUAGAACUUUUCAAGUUUAUAUUUUCAAUUUAGUCUUUUAAAAUUUUAAACUCAUACAAUAAAAUAUAUACCUCAUUACCUAUUUUCUUAACUCCAAACCUUUAAUCAUAAAUAUAAACUUUCAACUUUAAAUUUUUAAUUAUCAAACCCAAAUUCUAAUAUAUCUAAGUUGCAAUUCUAUUGAAAUCAAAACAUUAACAACAAAAACAUAAAUAUAAUCCUAAACUAUGGUUGUUCCAAAAAAAAAAAAAAUCCUAAACUAUGGAAUCUAAUAAUAAACUAUUAAAGAAAUUGAAUGCUGAUUUUUUAUUGGUUCAUUUUGGAAUGGUGUGGAUCACCAUUUUCUGUUCCUAACCAUUGAUAAUAUUAGAUCCAACGGAUCAGAUUGAUUUGGUUUUGUUUUAACUUUUUCUUCUCUUCUCUCCCCUCACAAGCUUCAUCGUCUCAUCUCCUCUUUCUUUGUUUUUGACUAAGAUUAUUCUUUCUUCUCCUCACGUACUCCAUCUUCUGCUCCUCAUCUACUCUUUUUCUCCUCUUCUUCUCAAUCUCAACUUAUCUCCUUUGCUCAAUCUCCAUUCAUCUCCAUGUCUAUCCCUACUCUACCUCCAUUCACACCUGCCGUCGUUAGCAUUAGUCGCCAUUGUCGUAGAGACCAAGCCGAUUUCAUGACUCUCUGUUUCAUCUUCUUUCUUCAUCGUUUGUGAAGAAGCAAGAUCUGAGAAGAAGCAGACACGUCGGAGGUGGUGGCGUGACGGAGGAAACGCGCUGGAGGUGGUAUCGUGACGGAACAGACAUGCCGGAUCUGGUGGUGUGAUGAAGGAAACGCGACGGAGAUGGUGGUGAAGCACUGAAGCUACGGCGGUGGAGGUGCUGAAGCCGACGGUGACAUUCCUCUGUACCCGUAUAGAUGACGAUGUAUUUGUGUGUAUAUCUGUGUAUUUGUGUAAUAUAUAUAAUAAUGAUAAUUUAAAACAAAUUUUUUUUUUUCUGAAUUUUUUUGAAAUACC